AUUGAACGCUGGCGGCAUGCCUUACACAUGCAAGUCGAACGGCAGCACGGGGCAACCUGGUGGCGAGUGGCGAACGGGUGAGUAAUGUAUCGGAACGUGCCAUUGAGUGGGGGAUAACGUAGCGAAAGUUACGCUAAUACCGCAUAUACCCUGAGGGGGAAAGCAGGGGAUCGCAAGACCUUGUGCUCUUUGAGCGGCCGAUAUCAGGUUAGCUAGUUGGUGAGGUAAAGGCUCACCAAGGCGACGAUCUGUAGCGGGUCUGAGAGGAUGAUCCGCCACACUGGGACUGAGACACGGCCCAGACUCCUACGGGAGGCAGCAGUGGGGAAUUUUGGACAAUGGGCGCAAGCCUGAUCCAGCCAUGCCGCGUGAGUGAAGAAGGCCUUCGGGUUGUAAAGCUCUUUCGGCCGGGAAGAAAUCGUACAGGUUAAUACCCUGUGUGGAUGACGGUACCGGAAUAAGAAGCACCGGCUAACUACGUGCCAGCCGCCGCCGUAAGAC
rnacentral:rRNA from 1 species